UUUACAGCUUUGAUGAUUUAGGCAAAAUGUCAAUUUUGUGUAGCCGGUGGGCACUAGGACCUGGGAAGGUUGAGGGCUAAUGGGCAACCUGGCCCUUUUAGAAUAAAAAGACGGUGAAGAGGGGAGCUGCAGGUGAGCUCAUUAGUGGGAAGAGUAAGUUACUCGGCCUCCAUUACGUGCUUGGGCAGCAGCAGCAAGAGAAGGUAAUAUUUCUGAUUAGUGUUUUGUAGCAGCUUUACACUUAUCUGUGAUAUCUGGCUGAUCUUAUGAAGUGGUUGUGUUGUGUAGGUGCUGCUGGAUAGUGCAGUUUUUUUAAUGAUUUAGCUGCUGUUGGUGUGCGUGUGGGAGAGGAGUGGAGACAGAGCAGAGAACUGUUUUGGGCAGGUGCUGCUGUUGCACUCGACUCUCAUCAUACAUUGGAAAGAGUGUUCAUUGUCCAAGUUCACAAGAAGGCUGGGGUGCUCCUGAUUUUCCCUUUCCCUCCAUGUGCUUAGAGGAUAUCUCAAGACUGCAAGUGUCUGUAAUAUUUUAAAGUUGAUUGAGCUAAUAAAUAAAUAAAUAAAUAAAUGUUGAAUAAUUAUGUGUGUCUUGGCAGGACGUGUGCAUGGCUGAAAGUUGAGGAUAUUGGCCACUGUUUUCUAAUGUUUUUUUCCUGACUGUUUUCUAAUGUUUCUUUCUUGACUGUUUUCUUGACGGUUCUCUACUGUUUUGUUAAUGGUUCUCUACUGUUUUUGAUGGUCCAUUUAUUGUUUUUUUGGAUAGUUUCUGUAUUGCUUUCUUAUUAAUUUCUUUACUGAUUGCUUUAGUUUUCUGCAGUUUCUUUGUUUUGUUAAUUUUUUUGGUACUUUAUUUUUUUCAUUGUUUUCUGGCUAUGAUUUAUUUGCAUAAUUUAUUGUAGUAGUUAAGUUUUGUUUAAUUUUGUAAUUCUUUGUUUUUUUUGGAUUAUAUUUAAUUAGUUUAUUUUCUUUUUCCAAUUAAUACUUUGCCACACUUGUGAGUUUCUUUUCAUCUAGUGUGUUUUGUUGAACAUUAUUUUUGAAGUUACCAAAGAAAGAAUCCAAGCUAGUCCUCCCCAUUAUGGUUUGUUUGGUGUGGUGUGCAGUGUAGUGUUGUUAAGCUGUGGGGUUUGUGGAUCCUUUAUUUUUGGUUUGCUUUAUUCCAUCCAAAACUGGUGUUCUAAAGCCCAAGAAUUGUCAGUGUCAACCAAUUCAGUGGAGAUUCAUUGUGUUUUUUUUAUAUGUUUGUGUUUUGAUGAUUGUGAAUAAAAGUAUUUUUGAUAUCAAA